UUUCCAUUUAGAAAUGCAUUUAUUAUAAGAAUACUUCAAUACAACAGUGUGUGAAGUUUGUAAUGACAUUAGUGAAUUAAUGAGCAUUACCCCCACACCCUAUACAUAGGCUUAGUGAAUGUUCAAACUUUUAUUUACAGCAAAACAAAUUUGUUAUAUAACUAGUCAACAGUCUGAGCAAACAGCUUCACCUUUCUACAAACAUACUGUAUAAAAGUAGUGAUAAUGGAAUACAUAUUUUUUUUGUAUGAGAAAAAAAAAAGGAAGGGGGUAUAAUCAAUUAAAAUAGCCAAUUUGAUAUAAGUAGAAAUUUAAAGAAGUUAAAAAAAAUAAGGAGAGGGGGCUUAAUUAAAGUGACCCACUAACCACUGCUAACACACACACAAAUAACUUGUUCACAAUCUCAACAAUGAAACCUAAGAUGUGUACAAUGUCUUUACAUUAAUAACUACAAGAAUGCUUAUGCAACUAAAUAAAUUAGUAAAUACAGACAAACAAGUUUGAAACCAAUAUAUCAAAAUGAAAAUAUAAAGAUGAACAAACAAGAAAAUCGAAUCAAUUAUUUUAUACAAAUGAAAGACGUUGAAUAAAAAUGACAGUACGGUACUCAUACAUACAUAUGAUUUCACUUCUGAUAAAUUCUUAAGUAAAAAAAGCAACUAAUAAGUUAAAAAAAAAAAGAUAUAAAUUAAACAAUAACUAAAAAAAUAAUGUCAAAAUAAUAUGAAUUUGAAUUUCCAACGUAUGUAAUUGUUGUAGCAACAUGAAUGGAUGUAUUGCAAUCUAAAAACAUUUUAUUAGCAAACAUCUUUAUCAAAACAACUCCAACUUUAGUGCUAGAAUAAAUAGAUUGCCCAUCUAACAGAAUUAUACAAUUAAAACAUUUACAAAACAAUGUGAGGAUUUGUUGAAUGCCCCCCCCCCU